CCUACGGGAGGCAGCAGUAAGGAAUAUUGGGCAAUGGGGGGAACCCUGACCCAGCCAUGCCGCGUGAGGGAAGUAGGCCCUACGGGUCGUGAACCUCUUUUGUCCAGGGACAAGGACGGGGUCGGGAACUCCGUUUGAGGGUACUGGAAGAAUAAGCAUCGGCUAACUCCGUGCCAGCAGCCGCGGUAAU
rnacentral:rRNA from 1 species